CUCUGGGGACAGCCUUGGGGACACUGGGGACCCCCUUUGGGACACCGGGAUCCCCUUGGGGACCCCCUUAGGGACACCGUGACCCCCUUAGGAACCCCUUGGAGACAUUGGGGACUCUCUGGGGACCCCCUUGGGGACACCGGGGACACCCUUAGGAACAUCAAGACCCCUUGUGGGCACCCUUGGGGACAUCGAGGACCCCUUUAGGGACACUGGGACCCCUUGGGGACAUUAGGGACCCCCUUAGGAACACCGGGAUCCCUUGGGGACAUUGGGGCCCCAUUGGAGACACCCUUGGGGACACUCUUAGGGACAGCGGGACCCCUUGGGGACCCCCCUGGAUACACCGGGACCCCCUUGGGGACUUUGGGGACCCUCUUAGGAACCCCAGGACACACUUAGGGACAUCAUGACCCCCUGGGGACCCCUUGGGGACAUUGGGAACCCAUUGGAGACACCCUUGGGGACCCCCCUGGGUACACCGGAACUCCCUUGGGGACAUCAGGGACCCCUUGGGGACAUUGGAGACCCUCGGGAGACACCCUUAGAGACACGAGAACCCCUUGGGGACACUGGUGACCCCCUGGGGACACCGGGGCCCCGUGGGUGACACUCACGCGCGGCAGCGGCAGCGCCCGUGUCCGCGCCAGCGCGCGCAGGAGGCGGGACCCGCCCAGCAGCGCCUGGAGCCCCGCCCCCCCCGCCGAGAGCCCCGCCCCCAGCACGGGCAGCCACGGCCAGGGCCAGGCGACAGCGGCCAGCACGGGGACACCGCCCAGGGUGGCACCGAACCUGCGGGGACACGACAGGGACAUGGGGACAGCACGGGGACACCGCUCAGGGUGGCACCGAACCUAAAGGGGACAUGAGAGGGACAUGGGGACAGUGGCCGGGGAUAUGGGGACAGCAUGGGGACAGCGCCCAGGGUGGCACCGAACCUAAAGGGGACACGACAGGGACAUGGGGACAGCAUGGGGACACCGCUCAGGGUGGCACCGAACCUAAAGGGGACACGAGAGGGACAUGGGGACAGCACGGGGACACCGCCCAGGGUGGCAUUGAACCUAAAAAGGAUACGAGAGGGACAUGGGGACAGCAUGGGGACACCGCCCAGGGUGACACCGAACCUAAAGGGGACAUGAGAGGGACAUGGGGACAGCAUAGGGACACUGCCCAGGGACACCGGGACAGCACGAGGACACAGCCCAGGGUGGCACUGAACCUGUGGGGACACAGGGACAGCAUGGGGACAAUGCCCAGGGUGACACCGAACAUAAAGAGGACACAGGGACAGAAUGGGGACACCGCCCGGGGUGACACUGUGAACCCCACUAGGGACACCCUUGGGGACAUCAGGGACCCCCUUGGGGACAUCAGGGACCCUGUGACCCCCCUGGUGGCACAGGUGACAGCGCUGUCCCCGCUCUCACUUGUCCCGCAGCAGCUGUCCCUCCACGCUGGCCCCCAGCAGCAGCGCCGCGCUCAGGUCUGCCUGUCAAGGAAAGCACAAAAACCCCAAAAACACCCCAAAAUCCCACCCAA
rnacentral:lncRNA from 1 species